CAGAAUCCAUUCGUUGGAGUUAAAGUUAUUCGAAUCGACAGAUAAAAUAUCGUGAGUUGCGAUUCAGGCAUUCGUAAAUGCAAAUUUCAGUAAGAAAACUAGAAAAUUAGGAAAGUGAGUUGUACGCAGGAAAAACAGUGGCCGCAUAGGGCCCAUCCGUUGGGACCGCACGUGCUACGUUCCGCAGCAAAAUAUAGCCCGGCAGAGAGCUGUAAAAUUAGAAGGUAACUAAACCUCGUAGCGAGGAGGUAUCUGGCGAUUUUCCGGAGUGUAUCUAUCGCCUCGUGGUUGCGUACCACUAUAGGUACAUUCGGAGUGCGUUGGCUGCAAAAUAAUAGAAGUCUCGGCUCGCAAGCAUCACCCGCUACACGUGAUUGCUUCACCCGCGAGAAGGUCUGAAAGGGAAAGAUUUCCCAACGCCGGAGAAACUCGCCCCGACUCACGUGCCCGUAAAUCGAGAGGCCCCCGUACGACACCCCGGUACUGCUGUUUAACCAGCCGAUCACCAUCCACCUUACUGGGAAAGCAAUGGUUGCUUGACCGUUGAACGGUCCAUCACCUAACCCAACGACCCGAGAUUCAAUACGGAAUUAUUUCCCGGCGACCACCCCCACAAGCAUUGCACAGCGGUCACCCACUCACAUUCCCCUGUCGGCGAUCACACGAUCGUUGGCUUGCGCCAACGUUGCAACCCGAGCAACAUUUCUUCGGGUAGUUUCUCCCUCGGCGAUCUGGAAGAUUGCUCACAGCCACGAGCCAUCCGCAGCGAGAACGAUAGCCGACAGAACAUCUCCCGAAUCGACUUCCACCCACAGGAGUAGACAGAGAUCGACGACGGCUGACAACCUGUAAGUACGAACGAACCAAACACGAACCCCCCACACGAAUACAUCACCGAGAUAGUAGGGACAAACAUUGUAAAGUAGUAGGGGAAGAAACGUAACGGAGAAAGAAGAAAGUGACGUCACACACAUUAUUUCUGGGUUUUGAGACAGAGAAAAAGAGGAGAGAGCGGUAGGAAAU